rnacentral:rRNA from 1 species
CAGCCGCCACGGUAAUACAGAGGGUGCAAGCGUUAAUCGGAAUUACUGGGCGUAAAGCGCGCGUAGGUGGUUUGUUAAGUUGGAUGUGAAAUCCCCGGGCUCAACCUGGGAACUGCAUCCAAAACUGGCAAGCUAGAGUAUGGUAGAGGGUGGUGGAAUUUCCUGUGUAGCGGUGAAAUGCGUAGAUAUAGGAAGGAACACCAGUGGCGAAGGCGACCACCUGGACUGAUACUGACACUGAGGCACGAAAGCGUGGGGAGCAAACAGGAUUAGAUACCCCAGUAGUCCCUGUCUCUUAUAC